rnacentral:ribozyme from 2 species
AUCAUAACUCCGCCUGUAGCUCUUCCGUGGGCUACUGCCAGUCCCAAGCCCGGAUAAAGGAGGAGGGUUGGG